rnacentral:rRNA from 1 species
ACGCUAGCUACAGGCUUAACACAUGCAAGUCGAGGGGAAACGGCAUUAAGUGCUUGCACUUUUUGGACGUCGACCGGCGCACGGGUGAGUAACGCGUAUCCAACCUUCCCAUGACUAAGGGAUAACCUGCCGAAAGGCAGACUAAUACCUUAUGGUCUUCACUGACGGCAUCAGAUGUGAAGUAAAGAUUUAUCGGUUAUGGAUGGGGAUGCGUCUGAUUAGCUUGUUGGCGGGGUAACGGCCCACCAAGGCAACGAUCAGUAGGGGUUCUGAGAGGAAGGUCCCCCACAUUGGAACUGAGACACGGUCCAAACUCCUACUGGAGGCAGCAGUGAGGAAUAUUGGUCAAUGGGCGAGAGCCUGAACCAGCCAAGUAGCGUGCAGGAUGACGGCCCUAUGGGUUGUAAACUGCUUUUGUAUGGGGAUAAAGUCAGUCACGUGUGAUUGUUUGCAGGUACCAUACGAAUAAGGACCGGCUAAUUCCGUGCCAGCAGCCGCGGUAAUACGGAAGGUCCGGGCGUUAUCCGGAUUUAUUGGGUUUAAAGGGAGCGUAGGCUGGAGAUUAAGUGUGUUGUGAAAUGUAGACGCUCAACGUCUGACUUGCAGCGCAUACUGGUUUCCUUGAGUACGCACAACGUUGGCGGAAUUCGUCGUGUAGCGGUGAAAUGCUUAGAUAUGACGAAGAACUCCGAUUGCGAAGGCAGCUGACGGGAGCGCAACUGACGCUGAAGCUCGAAGGUGCGGGUAUCGAACAGGAUUAGAUACCCUGGUAGUCCGCACAGUAAACGAUGGAUGCCCGCUGUUGGUACCUGGUAUCAGCGGCUAAGCGAAAGCAUUAAGCAUCCCACCUGGGGAGUACGCCGGCAACGGUGAAACUCAAAGGAAUUGACGGGGGCCCGCACAAGCGGAGGAACAUG